AUUUGCCAUCUGUUUCUCCUUCUCAGUUAAUUUGACUAUUAGAGUGGCUAUAGCAGAUGUUAAGCCUCUGAAAAGAGCAAUCUGAGGGGGUGGAGAGCUUUUUGUGGGGGAACCUGAGAACUCUUACCUGUGUGGUGUGGCUCUGGGAAGGCAACAAGGCCAAAUGGGGCUUUGUAAAACUCAGACCUCACUUAACUGCAAAAAUGAGGCUCACUGGUUGUGCAUGAUUUUGGGCUGCUGUACUUAGAGGUAAUUCUGCUUUUUUGCUUAAAAGAUAAACAAGCAAACAUGGCUAAAGUUCAUUUUUCCUUUAGCUGCCCAUCUUUUCCUUUCUGUUUUGGGGGAGCUGGAGUGGCCUCAGCACUUCCCUUGGUCUCUGUGGGCUUGUCAGGUGCCUGUAUCCCUGGAAUGGGAUCUGGACUUGAUCUGUUGCAAAUACAAAUGUUUGUUACUGAAGCAAACAGGUCAUGUUAUGUUAUUCUUGUACCUUAAAUAAAUCAAGAAAGGUGCAAAUGUGCUAGUUGUGAACUUAUUUCUCCCCUGGGCUGCUUCCAUGAGAUGUUUCUUUCUCUUCUUAUCUUCCCCACCCUGCUCCCACUUUUGCUGCUUUGAAUGGCAUCAGCUUAUUGAAGGAUUUUCUGAAAAUAGCAGUAUUGAAAAGGCAUGUUCUCUGUUUGCUCAUCUGGAAUAUUCUAGGAGGAAUUAACUCCUUUAAUUCCUCACUCCAUAAAUUUGAGGUUCCCUUUCUAGUUUUAUCUUGGAGAUAUGUUAAGGCAAUAACAAGUAUAAGUAAAAGAAGCUGCAGGGUUUGGUUUUCUAUUUUUCAGGAAUGCAGUGUGUGGAUCCAGCAAUAUGCAGGCAGUGCAGAGCUCGAGCCUGGGGCUGGUGGCCAUUCGCAUAUGGGACGUCUCGAUUUGGUGUCAGGGGACCUGCAGCUGACUGAUGCUCUUAAGGUCUGUUCAACUCUGUGCUUUGUGCUCCAACUGGGAGAGCAAAGGAGUGGGAGAAUGUUCCUGGUCCGUCUCUUCCGAAGGAGUGUUUACAACAGCCUAAGGAAGAACUAUGGAAAGUGAAAACAAAUGAAAUGGGAAGGGGAAAAAUGCCUUUUCUUUGCUAUUUCUACGCUAAUAGUGAAACACUAAUUUAAACCAGGACCCUUUUUGGAAAUGAGUCAGAAGUGAGCUAUGGCCAGCUACUUUUAAACAGUAUUUCUGCUUCUAUGUUGCAAGGAGAUUUUACAGCUCCUGCCCCUAAGCCAGAUCAUUAAGCACUUACACUUCUUUAGAUCUAAGCCAACGAGAUGAUUUUCUGGUGACCAAACUUUUCUCUAAUGCUCGUGCCUUUAUGAAUCUUCUCAAGAUCUCAAGGAAGCUUCCUUUUUUAAGAAGUCUAGUCCCUCAGCGAUCUCGGGCUGGAUUUGCACAUUUAACUCCCAUCAAAUGCUAAUAGGAAUUCGUUGGUCAAAUCCUCUCCCCUGUCCCUCUUCAUGCCUCACUGGGAGAAAAGAGCCAUUAGUGUGCUUAAAAGUAAAUUUCAAGGUUUCCUUUUUUGUGUGUUCCAAUGGCCAAGGUUUAUUCCUCUCGUCCUUUUUAUUUUAUUGUGAGGCACCUUGAGUUAUUUGCAUGAUAAGACACCCUGUAAAUGGAUUAUAUUGUAAUUCAUUGUGUAGGUUUAAUGCUGACAACAGCUCGGUUUGGAAGUAAGAUAGCAACUUAGAUUUUUAGUUUCUGAUGUGCCAUGCAGAGAAAUGCCUUUUGAGAAAGCGGGAGGCAAAGCAGGAGGGAUGAGGAGGAGGCAGCCGGAGUUAAAUUGUAUGAAUAAGGCAAGGGAAAGCUGGCAUUAAAGAGAAGCUGAAUACAUUAACUUCUCAGCCUCUGCACUGCGGAGAAUCAAUGGCACGAACUGGAGUGUCCCUUUCCUCUCUGCCUUAACAGUUAAUGUAGUUUUUCCUCUCCUUUUUCCAAGGAUAGCAAAGGAAUGGCAAUGCUUUCUGCUAACAAUCAUUCAUAUGUGAUGAGUGUACCUUUGCAGUCGCUGUGCCCGGAAUGUUAUGUUGUUAUAUACUGCCUACUUAUAAACUGGAACUGGUCCCUUAGAGAAGCCCUAUAUUUCAUAAGAAGUGUUGGAAUGAACAAAAAAUCUGUUUUCUUCUUUUGGGGAGGGGGGAACUGGACUGUGUAAUAAGUGCUGGUGUAGGAAGUUCGGUAGCCUAGUGUAAAACAUGGAAAACAUACACUACCCAGGAACAGCAUGCUUAAAUCCUGGCAGGAACAGCUUGGUUUUCCUUUCCAAGGUAAACCAGCAGUCUUCAUUGAGUGGGUAUUUUAGAUAAUACCAUAAAAAUAUAAAUGUAGUGUGGACACUAAAGUGCUCAUCAUCUGAAUUCUUGCACGUAGAUGCAUUUAGUUUUACAUACUUGACAUAUUCUUUGAAAGUGGCAGAUGUACGCUUUGUGCUCUAUCUCUUUUGGAGUGGUUGCACUGAUCUGUCCUUACUUUUUGCAUAUGUUCCAAAGCUUGAGUAAAAUGAUUAUAGAUGAAAGAUCUGUUCGCUUGCAUCUUGUCUUAAUUCUGCAUGGUACCCAGCACCCCUGUGCUGACCUGAAGUCUUGAACCUUGAUUGAUCUACUGACUUUAAACUUCAGCUUGAUGUGUAUUGGUAAAUAAUUUAACAAACUUCUUUACCUCCAGUGGCUGAAUGGUGGAAACUGAAAUGCAAAAUCUCUACCUUCCUUAAAUUGAGAUGAAAUGCUGUUUGGGAUCACUCUUAAGUUUUUUCUUUUUUUUUUCUUUUUUUUAAACUCAAAGUAGUCAUGAAUAGCAUGUUUUAAAAGCACUUUGAUCAUUGCUCUCGUUAUUUAAAAAAAAAAAGGGGGGGGAGGUGGAGUAUCUUCUCAAAAAUGGAGGUAGAAGCCUUUGAAAUCAUAAAGUGUAAGCAAACUUAGCCAGCAUACUGUGACCUGUCAGGAAGAGACUGAUCCUAUUAAAGCUCCACUGCAUGCAGCCAAAAUACUUUAAAGAGAACUCUAUAGAUUUCUGUGUUUACUGACGUCAGCGUGGCACAAGGGUGCGAUUGGCUGCUCUGUGUUUUUAAUAGAAAAAAGAACUGCCCAGAAAAGCCACCAAAGCAUUCCCGAUUUAUGCCGCUAUAUCGAUGACGAUGCAGUUUCUGGGACAUAUUGUCACUUGGUUCAGCCCCCUGAAUCUGCAACGGUUCAGACAAAGGGAGUUUUUGAUUUACCAGUCCAUUCUUCAUGUUAAUAUACACAGAGCUCCUUGUCUUUGCAAUUUGAAUCAGCUCCACAGUUCUGCGUAAAGAAAUUGGGCACUAGCUGUCCUUUAUAGAUGAGUGAUGUGUAAAUCUGGGUUAAUUCUAGCAAACUGAGGGAAGUAACUUAAGGAUACGUAUUGCUUGAGUGCACGGCCUUAAUGCUGUUGCUUUAUUACAUUGAUAAAGAGAGCUGGCUGUAUAGUGGUAUAGCCAGCACCAGACUCGGGGCAAGAAGCUUUUAAUAUUAGUUUAAAUUAAAACAACUGGUGGCUUUGAAUAGAGGAAGAGGUUCUUUGUAAAGUACAAACAAAUUCUUCAGCUCUCUCUGUGAAGACGUCACUAACAACUCAUUUAAGCACUUCUAAUAAAAAGAGCAUUUGUGUUCUAACA
rnacentral:lncRNA from 1 species